UCCGGUGUCGUGAGCGGUGGAAGCGGUGGCCGUAGCUUCAUUCUGACGCCAUGAACACUGUUAUCUGCCACCGCCUAAGGCUAAGUGCAAAACUUCUUCUCUAUUCUUUCCCCAAACCCUCUUUCUUGUUCUCAACAACUACUUCCGAUUCUGUCUCCUUCACACCAGAGGUUGCACUGAAACUAUCCAAACGACUUCGUUUCAACACCGCCCAAAAACCCGAUUCCGUCAUCUCCUUCUUCCAAACCCACGGUUUCUCCGCCCCCCAGAUCCACCGCAUCCUCAGCAAAUGCCCCGAACUCAUAGUAUGCGACCCCACCCGAACGCUUUUCCCCAAAUUCCACUUCUUGGCCUCCAAAGGCGUUUCUGCAUCCGGCGUCGUUUCCAUUGUCACUAGGAACCCCCGAUUCCUCUGUCGCAGCCUCGAAAACUGCAUCUUCCCCACCUUCCAACUCCUCCGAAGGUUCUUUCCCUCCGACCUCAGAGCUCUCGCUGUUUUCUUCACCUGUCAUCGGCAACUGUCACUUGGCAUCAAACGUUGAAAGGUUGCUCGACGCCGGAGUCGCGCACGUCGGCAUUCGGCACUUGCUCUCCUCUCGGUCUUUUGUUCUCUGCUCCAACCUGAGAACCCUUGUGGAGGAAGUGAAGCUGUUGGGGUUUGACCCUCUGAAGGUGACCUUCGCUGUGGCCCUUGAGGCCAAAAGUACAGUUUCGAAACCCCUUUGGGAUGCCAAAGUCGACGUGUUGAAGAAAUGGGGUUGGUCCGAGGAUGAGGUUUUGGUUGCGUUUAGGAAACAGCCUAAAAUGAUGCACUGUUCCAUGGAGAAACUUGAUGCAGUGAUGGGGUUUUGGGUGGGUCGGCUUGGAUGGGAUCGUUCUACGCUUAUUGCGUACCCUUCGUUGUUUUUGUUCAGUUUGGAGAAAAGAGCUUUGGUUCUGCAGCAGCUUCUCUCCAGAGGAUUGGUGAAGAAGGAUGCUAGCUUCGUCACACCGUUUGUAAAGUCUGAUGAGGGGUUUCUGAAAAAGUAUGUGAGAUCUUUCACGGAGGAAACACCCUGGUUACUAGAGCUAUAUCAGAAGGGACAGGGAGCAUCCUAGCAUUUGGUUGUUGAGAUUUACUUUAACUCAUGCACAUACAUACAGAUUUUGGUGUAAUUCAUCUCUAACCACUAUCUCUUCUCCGACGAUCGUAAUGUGUUGUUUAUUCACUAUGAACAUUUUCCAAUUAAGUCCUAGUUGUGAAUAUUUUAUAGGUGAUUGAUCCAGGAGAGCAAAAGGUGUUGUUGUUAGAGAAAGCCUUUGCAGGACUGCUACUGUUUUGUGUGGAAGAAGAGAAUAAUUUGCAUCAUGUUGUUUCGUUGAAUACUGCUUUGAAGAAAUGAUCCUGAUCACGUUUAUUAUUAAAUAUGACAAUAAGAACACUAAUAUAUUAUCUAUCUGAUUGGCAAUGAGAAAGUGAGCAAGGUGCGAGGCAUUUUCAAAUGGCAAGAUGACAAAACAGAACCAGAAACACCCAACACUGCAAGCAGGCAAAGGAAUAAGGGAACAAAUUCUUAGUGAAUUGAGAGAGAAAGGAUGAAACCCAAAAUCCUUUAAAACAGUUACCACUGCUAUAACUUAGUUUUGACAUAAUUAUUUGUUCUUUAAAGUUCUCUCUUCUUAUUCUUUAGAAUAUUUUCCCCAAUUCCUAAUAAUAUUUUGCUUGCUA